AGGAUUGUUCCAGAUUGGACUAAGUCCGCAUGGGAUAGGUGAAGACCCAGACGUUUUGAGAAAUUCCCACCAGGCUGCCAGGGAAGUGCUUAUGUAAAUGCUUUUAAAGCAGGUGCACAUUUAAAAGAGGCUAUCAGUCAUGGAUUAUAUGGCUGGUUUGUGGGGAGCUGGCUCAGGAAUAUCACUGGAGGGAAGGACUGAUAAUCGAGGGCUAAGAUGGUUAAAGCGGCAUUAGGGUGAAGAGAGUUCCAUUCUGACUGGAGGGAUAAUCUAGAGGAUCGGGAGAAACCCAGUAGGGCUCUGAUUUUUCAGGCUGAAGGCUGAGCUAAUAAAGUUAAGCACUUUUAAACACGGACUCCGUUGAAGUCCAUAUCAAGGCAUCAGUAGGAAAAUCAAAAAUGGCACCUGGUACAUCCUAACUUGACUGAGAGCUAAGAAUAUAAAGAAACAAACAAGAGACU